ACAUGACUGCGAGUUCGUGGAGUGGGAUGCCUUGGGAUGGGCUGGGACGUCUCCAUCUGAGCAAGGAGAGGUCUAAUCUAUGUUGUGGGAAGAGGAUCUCCUCAAUAGGGCAGACCCAGUGAGGCUGUUGAGGUGUUUGGAGGGGGUCUGGAGAGCUGAGGACCGAGGGCAGGGGGAGGCGUAGCAAUUGAGCGGAGACGUCAGACGACCUUCCUCAGCAGAGAUGACUUGAUGAAUCCUCUUCAGUGCCUACAGCUUAUUCCAGGGCUUUACUGAGGAUCUGGCCAACACAUGUAGCCUUACUCCAGGGCAUGGCUCUUGAAGAAACUAGAAGAUGGACACAGCAUGUUUUUCAUCUAGUGACUGUAAGACCAAACAGCCCAAAUCCCAGCCUGCAGCCGUGUUGUGGAGAUAACGCCUGUGCCACAGGGGAGAAUAAGAGCUCCCCUCGAGAUCCCACAGCCUCGGAUCCAGCAGCGGGACCAGGGGCAGGAACAUAUCCCAGGGAGUGGAAAAGGGACUUUUCAAGCCUGGGAGUUCGUUCUUGCAGUUGGCUACCACCUGCCCAGACUUGCCAUCUGAUGUCUCCAAGUGUCUCCAGGAGGGUCCUGACCUGCUUCUGCAAUGGCCCCGGAGAGGAGGCAGCUUUGGCUCAUGAACACGGAGGGUUUCUGCAUCGCUUCGAGUCACGCUGGUCCAGCCGUGGGGAGGGAACCAGGGCAACGCAGGGAGCCAGGGGAUCAUCCCACAUCACUCCUGUACGUUGUCUUUGGUGCCCUAAAUACCCUGGAGCAGGACCGCAGUGCUUAGGCAGAGGGAUCUGAGCAAGCCACCAUCUCACCUGGCAAAAUACCAGGGGUGUGAAGGUUGGAGGGAGCUUUUAGCAUUAGGCUUUGCUCAUGGAGCAGAGCUCAGCCCUUGCUGCUCUUCAUCCCUGGGUGUGUGGAGCUGCGGGAGAGCAGCCAUCCUGACAGUGCUGUGCUGGGUGCCCAGAGGACUGUGAGUCUGCCCGGGCCAGGCAGCCCUGCUGCUGUUUUAUUGAACCCUCUCUGUUCCUGUAAGAGAAACGUACUGGCUGUAAUUCUUUCCCAUUAAAAUCUCCCCACCCCAUGCACUGUUGAAAAUAAACUCUCUCUU
rnacentral:lncRNA from 1 species